rnacentral:lncRNA from 1 species
AGACGGCGGGACAAAGGCCAGCCGGUGGGUCCCCAGUUUUGAGUAAUCCAGAUACGGUUCCGGGGUUCCAGGCAGCGCUCGGAGCGCAGAGCUCUCGGCACGGCCUCCGCGCCUCCCCCGAGCCCCCGAGCCAGGUGGGGCCGGGAGGGAGACCCAGGGCCUGCGCUCAGAGGCCGGGGAGUUGUGUUUAUUUUCCAGUUAUUCUUGGCCGCCGUCCACGCGAUUAUUUGGAGCAGCGCAGGGGCCUUCGGGGAGAGCUGGGGCCUUGGGGGGGUGGGGUGGGGGUCCCUUUGCCAGGCCCCACGAGUUUUAUGGCGCCGGAGCUCGGAGGGCGAAAUUACAGGCGGAAUCAAAAUGUGUAAAUUAUAGGUUUGUGUUGUAAAGAGGCCUGAGCGCGCCCGCUGGAGAAAGGCGGUUGUGGGUUCCCGGCGGACCCGCGCCAGCGCCGCGCGCGCCUCUGCGCGCUGAGCUUUUGCCGGCUCCACCCCCAGGCGCGGGGAGCCCGGACCCCGGGGCGCGGGGACACAGGGCCGCCACGCAGGCCCCCGGGCUCCGGCCCGCACCGCGUGGCCUCCCUGGCCGGCCGGAGAGAGAGGCAGCAGGCCGACUCCCGGCCUCCGGCGCGCCAGGCUCGACGACCAGCAGUCAGGACCGCGGGAGCCGGGGCGCUGUCGCCCUCCUGCCGUCCCCGCCGCGCUGGCCUUUUAGCCGCAGCUCGCCAAUUAGCUUUCGUCGGAAAUGCCUUUAUGUGCCCAGCCGCGAGCGGAGCGAAAGCUCAUUGAAGAGUUUAGACGCGUGUGCCUUGGCGGGUCGCCGGAGCGCGUUGGAAAGAAUUUCAGAAACAUCGCCGUUCAAAGCUCUCCUGACUUAAUUUUAAAUUAUUUGGCUUUUCCUGGGUUUCUUCUGCAUUCCCUUCGCCGUCUUAUCUCUUCUUUUCCCCCCUUUCAAAAAAAAUUUCCCCUUACCUUCGCUUCCUUUCCCUUCUCCCCCUCCGGGCUGGCCUCCUGCCUGCCUGCCUGCCUGCCUUCCUUCCUUCCCUCCCUCCUGGAUCCCGUCUUUCCCAUUACAUGUUCGAUUUUCUUUCUUCUUUCUCUCCUUUUUCUCCUCACAGUUGCAGGAUUUCAAAACCCCCUUCUUGCGGGCGUCUUUCCCCUUAUUUAUUUACACCAUUUUGCAUCCCUCCACGCUCCCUUGUUCCUUUCUACUUUGACUCUCUCCAUUUCUUGGCCUAGGAUGUGUUGCCAUUGAACAUCAACGUUCUUCGUUACGGAAAACCAACUGCAGCCGGUCACACUGGCCUCAAGAAAACCAGAAAGGGGAGGAGAACAUUUUAAGAACCUUCCAGAAGUCCUGCGUUGGGUUAGCACCAGCCCUUCCAGGACUGGGUGUGUUGGAGAGGCGGAGGGGCUGGAAGGUUACUAAGAGCUCAGAUGUUCCAUAGUCAGUGGGACUGUCCAUUGGGACGGGUGACAUACCCAGCUACCAGCUGUCCCUCCUGUGUGUUACUACUGCCUGCCUGUGCAUACCAGGCUCUGUCCCCUUCUGAGGCCCAUUUGAUUCCCACCUCCGUUCUGAGAGCCCAGGCGACCGCCUUGCCAAUGGUUGGCGAGAAUUUCAAGAAGGCAAAAAACCCAUCCGAUGUUAAAAUCCUUCUCAGACCACCUAGCUCCCUUCCAGGAUGACAGAUGUCUAUUUGCC